UACAGAGGGUGCGAGCGUUAAUCGGAAUUACUGGGCGUAAAGCGCGCGUAGGCGGCUUUGCAAGCCGGAUGUGAAAUCCCCAGGCUUAACCUGGGAACUGCAUUCGAGACUGCAUUGCUAGAGUAUGGGAGGGGGAAGUGGAAUUUCCGGUGUAGCGGUGAAAUGCGUAGAUAUCGGAAGGAACAUCAGUGGCGAAAGCGACUUCCUGGACCAAUACUGACGCUCAUGUGCGAAAGCGUGGGGAGCAAACAGG
rnacentral:rRNA from 1 species